AAUCGAAACACCCGUAAGGGUGUCUGGCUAGGAUGGUCUCUAGUCACUGAAGAGAUAGACCACG
rnacentral:hammerhead_ribozyme from 1 species